rnacentral:rRNA from 1 species
AGGACGAACGCUGGCGGCGUGCUUAACACAUGCAAGUCGAGCGGUAAGGCCCUUUCGGGGGUACACGAGCGGCGAACGGGUGAGUAACACGUGAGCAAUCUGCCCCUCACUUCGGGAUAAGCCUCGGAAACGGGGUCUAAUACCGGAUAUGACUGCGCCAUGCAUGUGGUGUGGUGGAAAGUUCUGGCGGUGAGGGAUGAGCUCGCGGCCUAUCAGCUUGUUGGUGGGGUAAUGGCCUACCAAGGCUUCGACGGGUAGCCGGCCUGGAGAGGGUGACCGGCCACACUGGGACUGAGACACGGCCCAGACUCCUACGGGAGGCAGCAGUGGGGAAUA